rnacentral:rRNA from 1 species
GUGCAGCAGCCGCGGUCAUACCGGCAGCCCGAGUGAUGACCGAUCUUAUUGGGCCUAAAGCGUCCGUAGCUGGCUACGCAAGUCCGUCGGGAAAUCCACUCGCCCAACGAGUGGGCGUCCGACGGAAACUGCAUAGCUUGGGACCGAAAGGCUCGAAGGGUACGUGCGGGGUAGGAGUGAAAUCCCAUAAUCCCGCACGGACCACCGAUGGCGAAAGCACUUCGAGAAAACGGAUCCGACAGUGAGGGACGAAAGCCAGGGUCUCCAACCGGAUUAGAAACCCGGGUAGUCC